rnacentral:rRNA from 1 species
GACGAACGCUGGCGGCGUGCUUAACACAUGCAAGUCGAGCGGUAAGGCCCUUUCGGGGGUACGACGAGCGGCGAACGGGUGAGUAACACGUGGGUGACCUGCCCUUAGCUCUGGGAUAAGCCUGGGAAACUGGGUCUAAUACCGGAUAUGACUCCAUAACGCAUGUUGUGGGGUGGAAAGCCUUGUGCGGCUAGGGAUGGGCCCGCGGCCUAUCAGCUUGUUGGUGGGGUGAUGGCCACCAAGGCGACGACGGGUAGCCGGCCUGAGAGGGCGACCGGCCACACUGGGACUGAGACACGGCCCAGACUCCUACGGGAGGCAGCAGUGGGGAAUCUUGCGCAAUGGGCGAAAGCCUGACGCAGCGACG